UACCAGCACCCCGAGUGGUCGAGACGAUUAUUGGGCCUAAAGCAUCCGUAGCCGGUUCUACAAGUCUUCCGUUAAAUCCACCUGCUCAACAGUUGGGCUGCGGAGGAUACUAUAGAGCUAGGAGGCGGGAGAGGCAAGCGGUACUCGAUGGGUAGGGGUAAAAUCCGUUGAUCCAUUGAAGACCACCAGUGGCGAAGGCGGCUUGCCAGAACGCGCUCGACGGUGAGGGAUGAAAGCUGGGGGAGCAAACCGG
rnacentral:rRNA from 1 species